rnacentral:rRNA from 1 species
AGGACGAACGCUGGCGGCGUGCCUAACACAUGCAAGUCGAACGGGGGUAGCAAUACCCCAGUGGCGAACGGGUGCGUAACACGUGAAGAACUUGUCCAUCGGCGGGGGAUAGCCAGCCCAACGGCCGGGUAAUACCGCGUACGCCGUCUGAAGCGCAUGCUUCGGCCGGGAAAGCAGCAAUGCACCGAUGGAGAGCUUCGCGGCCUAUCAGCUAGUUGGCGGGGUAAUGGCCCACCAAGGCAACGACGGGUAGCUGGUCUGAGAGGAUGACCAGCCACAUUGGGACUGAGACACGGCCCAGACUCCUACGGGAGGCAGCAGUGGGGAAUAUUGCGCAAUGGGGGAAACCCUGACGCAGCGACGCCGCGUGUGGGAUGACGGCCUUCGGGUUGUAACCACUGUCGCGAGGGACGAAAAAUGACGUACCUACGAAGGAAGCACCGGCUAACUCUGCGCCAGCAGCCGC